rnacentral:rRNA from 1 species
UACGUAGGGACCAAGCGUUGUUCGGAUUUACUGGGCGUAAAGGGCGCGUAGGCGGCGUGGUAAGUCACUUGUGAAAUCUCUGAGCUUAACUCAGAACGGCCAAGUGAUACUGCUGUGCUAGAGUGCAGAAGGGGCAAUCGGAAUUCUUGGUGUAGCGGUGAAAUGCGCAGAUAUCAGGAAGAACACCCGUGGCGAAGGCGGCUCUCUGGGACGGUACUGACGCUGAGACGCGACAGCGUGGGGAGCAAACAGG